rnacentral:sRNA from 1 species
AAUCUUUUUCGUCUUUGUUU